rnacentral:rRNA from 1 species
GAUGAACGCUAGCGGCAGGCUUAACACAUGCAAGUCGAGGGGUAGAGGAAGCUUGCUUCCUUGAGACCGGCGCACGGGUGCGUAACGCGUAUGCAAUCUACCUUUUGCAGAGGGAUAGCCCAGAGAAAUUUGGAUUAAUACCUCAUAGUAUGUGAGGAUGGCAUCAUUUUCACAUUAAAGUCACAACGGCAAAAGAUGAGCAUGCGUCCCAUUAGCUAGUUGGUAAGGUAACGGCUUACCAAGGCUACGAUGGGUAGGGGUCCUGAGAGGGAGAUCCCCCACACUGGUACUGAGACACGGACCAGACUCCUACGGGAGGCAGCAGUGAGGAAUAUUGGACAAUGGGCGGCAAGCCUGAUCCAGCCAUGCCGCGUGCAGGAUGACGGUCCUAUGGAUUGUAAACUGC